rnacentral:rRNA from 1 species
AUGCCGUGCAAAAAGGCAAGGCUGCGGCGGCGACGAGUCCAUGUAGGGACGGAGUCGUCGAGUGUCGAGCCUUGUGAAACAUCUGUGGUGAAGGUGGAUUAUGAUGAUGAUGAUGAGCCUGUCAAGUCCGAACCAGCAGCUCCAUCUGAAUAUGAUCAAGCCGCCGAGGAAGCGGCCGAGGAGGAGACGAUGGCGAUGAUGAUGGGAUUGGGGGAGCUGGCCGACGAGGCAGCUGAGGAGGCGGCCAGAAUCGGGGAGAAGAAGAACAGGAGAGACAAUCUGUCGAUCGACGAAAUGAUGGCGAUUACGAGAGAGAUGGUAGGGGAAGUACCCGAGGAAGCCAACACUGAUCAUAAUGCCUACUAUGCCCGUGUUCACCGCGAAAAUUGGGACCGGCUCUUCGCCCAACACUACGGCCCCUUCGACCAGACCACGUCCAUCCCUGCCUCGUGCUUCACCGACCUUUGCCGCCCUAACAACCGCUACGCCCACAAGCAGGAGAUGCUCCAGAUCUUCUCGAUCAAAGUCGGGAAGAUAAAGAAGCCCCUGAAGUGGCCUUUACAGGUUUUUGGUUCGAUCGCUGUGCGGGAUGCGGUGGAUCGCAAUCGCAUCAUGGUGUUCCACCGUGAGAGGGAUAACUGCCAAACCCUUACCAAGAAGGAUCGAUUUCUUACGCUAACGGGGCCUACCCGAGGAAUUGUGAUGAAUGUACAUCAUAUCUAUGUUGAAGUUGAUCUGAAGGCGAAGGGCACCACUAAAUCUGAGGAUAAAGAUUUAAGCUAUUUAGCAGUUGCGUCUCUUCCUUGGGGCCCGUCUUAUCGUGCUGAGGCUAGCAAGCUUAGCAUACUAGAGUUGACAUACGUUCGAAUGUGUAACUGUGUGGAAGCCGCAAUCAGUGUGAAAGUCAAAAAGCAUGGGUUAUGGCCUGGCUGCAGGGGUUUACUCACUGCCAGUACAGCUAGUUUCGAGAACAUGGAAAUCCCGUUGCUUGCUUUUGAAGGCGAUAGAUUGCCGGUUGAUGGUAGUGGCAGGAUUGAGCUUUCACGCCGUGUGGUCAGCGUCGAGCUUCCGCAGCCUGAAGGAAAGCUUGUGUUUUCGGCGAAGGCACUACGUGGUAGUGAUGAGAAAGAUGUGAGAAGAGUUCGUAAAACUUUUACUCCCAAAAAGUUUGGUAAAACCAAGGAGAAUAUUAAGAUUGGCUCCUGUGAGAUGGAGGUAACUGUCACAUGGUCCCUUCUUCCGAGUUGUAAGUAUGAUUAUACAGUGCAUUUGUAA